GAUGAACGCUGGCGGCGUGCCUAAUACAUGCAAGUCGAGCGAACGGACGAGAAGCUUGCUUCUCUGAUGUUAGCGGCGGACGGGUGAGUAACACGUGGAUAACCUACCUAUAAGACUGGGAUAACUUCGGGAAACCGGAGCUAAUACCGGAUAAUAUUUUGAACCGCAUGGUUCAAAAGUGAAAGACGGUCUUGCUGUCACUUAAAGAUGGAUCCGCGCUGCAUUAGCUAGUUGGUAAGGUAACGGCUUACCAAGGCAACGAUGCAUAGCCGACCUGAGAGGGUGAUCGGCCACACUGGAACUGAGACACGGUCCAGACUCCUACGGGAGGCAGCAGUAGGGAAUCUUCCGCAAUGGGCGAAAGCCUGACGGAGCAACGCCGCGUGAGUGAUGAAGGUCUUCGGAUCGUAAAGCUCUGUUAUUAGGGAAGAACAUAUGUGUAAGUAACUGUGCACAUCUUGACGGUACCUAAUCAGAAAGCCACGGCUAACUACGUG
rnacentral:rRNA from 1 species